UACAGAGGUCCCGAGCGUUGUUCGGAUUCACUGGGCGUAAAGGGUGCGUAGGUGGCAUGGUAAGCUUGAUGUGAAAGCUCAGGGCUUAACCCUGAAAUGGCAUUGAAUACUACUGUGCUGGAGGUUUGGAGGGGGGACUGGAAUUCUUGGUGUAGCAGUGAAAUGCGUAGAUAUCAAGAGGAACACCAGUGGCGAAGGCGAGUCCCUGGACAACACCUGACACUGAGGCACGAAAGCUAGGGGAGCAAACAGG
rnacentral:rRNA from 1 species